UCAAGUGAAGAAGCGCAUACGGUGGAUGCCUUGGCAGUCAGAGGCGAUGAAAGACGUGGUAGCCUGCGAAAAGCUUCGGGGAGUCGGCAAACAGACUUUGAUCCGGAGAUCUCUGAAUGGGGGAACCCACCUAGGAUAACCUAGGUAUCUUGUACUGAAUCCAUAGGUGCAAGAGGCGAACCAGGGGAACUGAAACAUCUAAGUACCCUGAGGAAAAGAAAUCAACCGAGAUUCCCUUAGUAGUGGCGAGCGAACGGGGAUUAGCCCUUAAGCUUCAUUGAUUUUAGCGGAACGCUCUGGAAAGUGCGGCCAUAGUGGGUGAUAGCCCCGUACGCGAAAGGAUCUUUGAAGUGAAAUCGAGUAGGACGGAGCACGAGAAACUUUGUUUGAACAUGGGGGGACCAUCCUCCAAGGCUAAAUACUACUGACUGACCGAUAGUGAACCAGUACCGUGAGGGAAAGGCGAAAAGAACCCCGGAGAGGGGAGUGAAAUAGAACCUGAAACCGUAUGCGUACAAGCAGUGGGAGCCUACUUGUUAGGUGACUGCGUACCUUUUGUAUAAUGGGUCAGCGACUUAUAUUCAGUGGCAAGCUUAACCGUAUAGGGUAGGCGUAGCGAAAGCGAGUCUUAAUAGGGCGUUUAGUCGCUGGGUAUAGACCCGAAACCGGGCGAUCUAUCCAUGAGCAGGUUGAAGGUUAGGUAACACUGACUGGAGGACCGAACCCACUCCCGUUGAAAAGGUAGGGGAUGACUUGUGGAUCGGAGUGAAAGGCUAAUCAAGCUCGGAGAUAGCUGGUUCUCCUCGAAAGCUAUUUAGGUAGCGCCUCAUGUAUCACUCUGGGGGGUAGAGCACUGUUUCGGCUAGGGGGUCAUCCCGACUUACCAAACCGAUGCAAACUCCGAAUACCCAGAAGUGCCGAGCAUGGGAGACACACGGCGGGUGCUAACGUCCGUCGUGAAAAGGGAAACAACCCAGACCGCCAGCUAAGGUCCCAAAGUUGUGGUUAAGUGGUAAACGAUGUGGGAAGGCUUAGACAGCUAGGAGGUUGGCUUAGAAGCAGCCACCCUUUAAAGAAAGCGUAAUAGCUCACUAGUCGAGUCGGCCUGCGCGGAAGAUGUAACGGGGCUCAAACCACACACCGAAGCUGCGGGUGUCACGUAAGUGACGCGGUAGAGGAGCGUUCUGUAAGCCUGUGAAGGUGAGUUGAGAAGCUUGCUGGAGGUAUCAGAAGUGCGAAUGCUGACAUGAGUAACGACAAUGGGUGUGAAAAACACCCACGCCGAAAGACCAAGGGUUCCUGCGCAACGUUAAUCGACGCAGGGUUAGUCGGUUCCUAAGGCGAGGCUGAAAAGCGUAGUCGAUGGGAAACAGGUUAAUAUUCCUGUACUUCUGGUUACUGCGAUGGAGGGACGGAGAAGGCUAGGCCAGCUUGGCGUUGGUUGUCCAAGUUUAAGGUGGUAGGCUGAAAUCUUAGGUAAAUCCGGGGUUUCAAGGCCGAGAGCUGAUGACGAGUCGUCUUUUAGAUGACGAAGUGGUUGAUGCCAUGCUUCCAAGAAAAGCUUCUAAGCUUCAGGUAACCAGGAACCGUACCCCAAACCGACACAGGUGGUCGGGUAGAGAAUACCAAGGCGCUUGAGAGAACUCGGGUGAAGGAACUAGGCAAAAUGGCACCGUAACUUCGGGAGAAGGUGCGCCGGCUAGGGUGAAGGAUUUACUCCGUAAGCUCUGGCUGGUCGAAGAUACCAGGCCGCUGCGACUGUUUAUUAAAAACACAGCACUCUGCAAACACGAAAGUGGACGUAUAGGGUGUGACGCCUGCCCGGUGCCGGAAGGUUAAUUGAUGGGGUUAGCGCAAGCGAAGCUCUUGAUCGAAGCCCCGGUAAACGGCGGCCGUAACUAUAACGGUCCUAAGGUAGCGAAAUUCCUUGUCGGGUAAGUUCCGACCUGCACGAAUGGCGUAACGAUGGCGGCGCUGUCUCCACCCGAGACUCAGUGAAAUUGAAAUCGCUGUGAAGAUGCAGUGUAUCCGCGGCUAGACGGAAAGACCCCGUGAACCUUUACUGUAGCUUUGCACUGGACUUUGAGCCUGCUUGUGUAGGAUAGGUGGGAGGCUUUGAAGCGUGGACGCCAGUUCGCGUGGAGCCAUCCUUGAAAUACCACCCUGGCAUGCUUGAGGUUCUAACUCUGGUCCGUAAUCCGGAUCGAGGACAGUGUAUGGUGGGCAGUUUGACUGGGGCGGUCUCCUCCUAAAGAGUAACGGAGGAGUACGAAGGUGCGCUCAGACCGGUCGGAAAUCGGUCGUAGAGUAUAAAGGCAAAAGCGCGCUUGACUGCGAGACAGACACGUCGAGCAGGUACGAAAGUAGGUCUUAGUGAUCCGGUGGUUCUGUAUGGAAGGGCCAUCGCUCAACGGAUAAAAGGUACUCCGGGGAUAACAGGCUGAUACCGCCCAAGAGUUCAUAUCGACGGCGGUGUUUGGCACCUCGAUGUCGGCUCAUCACAUCCUGGGGCUGAAGCCGGUCCCAAGGGUAUGGCUGUUCGCCAUUUAAAGUGGUACGCGAGCUGGGUUUAGAACGUCGUGAGACAGUUCGGUCCCUAUCUGCCGUGGACGUUUGAGAUUUGAGAGGGGCUGCUCCUAGUACGAGAGGACCGGAGUGGACGAACCUCUGGUGUUCCGGUUGUCACGCCAGUGGCAUUGCCGGGUAGCUAUGUUCGGAAAAGAUAACCGCUGAAAGCAUCUAAGCGGGAAACUUGCCUCAAGAUGAGAUCUCACUGGGAACUUGAUUCCCCUGAAGGGCCGUCGAAGACUACGACGUUGAUAGGCUGGGUGUGUAAGCGUUGUGAGGCGUUGAGCUAACCAGUACUAAUUGCCCGUGAGGCUUGACCAU
rnacentral:rRNA from 1 species